rnacentral:rRNA from 1 species
UACAGGGGGGGCAAGCGUUGUUCGGAAUUACUGGGCGUAAAGGGCCAGUAGGCGGCCAACUAAGUCCGACGUGAAAUCCCCAGGCUUAACCUGGGAACUGCGUCGGAUACUGGAUGGCUUGAAUUCGGGAGAGGGAUGCAGAAUUCCAGGUGUAGCGGUGAAAUGCGUAGAUAUCGGGAGGAACACCAGUGGCGAAGGCGGCGACCUGGGCCAAUAUUGACGCUGAGGUGCGAAAGCGUGGGGAGCAAACAGG